rnacentral:rRNA from 1 species
AUUGAACGCUGGCGGCAGGCCUAACACAUGCAAGUCGGGCGCGCGGCGGACGGGUGAGUAAUGUAUGGGGACUGCCUGAUGGAGGGAUCUAACUACUGGAACCGGUCGCUACUACCGCAUACCCUCCUAUACCCCAUAUGGUCUUAGCUGGUAGGUGAGGUAACGGCUCACCUAGGCGACGAUCCCUAGCUGGUCUGAGAGGAUGAUCAGCCACACUGGGACUGAGACACGGCCCAGACUCCUACGGAGGCAGCAGUGGGGAAUAUUGCACAAUGGGCGCAAGCCUGAUACAGCCAGGCCGCGUGUAUGAAGAAGGCCUUCGGGUUGUAAAGUACUGUCAGUCGGGAGGCGUUACCGACAGAAGAAGCACCGGCUAACUCCGUGCCAGCAGCCGCGGUAAUAC